rnacentral:rRNA from 1 species
UACGUAGGGGGCAAGCGUUGUCCGGAAUCAUUGGGCGUAAAGAGCGUGUAGGCGGCCCGAUAAGUCCGCUGUGAAAGUCCAGGGCUCAACCUUGGAAUGCCGGUGGAUACUGUAGGGCUCGAGUUCGGAAGAGGUGAGUGGAAUUCCUGGUGUAGCGGUGAAAUGCGCAGAUAUCUGGAGGAACACCGGUGGCGAAGGCGGCAUCCUGGACCGGCAUUGACGUUGAGGCGCGAAAGCUAGGGGAGCAAACGGG